rnacentral:rRNA from 1 species
CCGACCUGCACGAAUGGCGUAAUGAUGGCCAGGCUGUCUCCACCCGAGACUCAGUGAAAUUGAACUCGCUGUGAAGAUGCAGUGUACCCGCGGCAAGACGGAAAGACCCCGUGAACCUUUACUAUAGCUUGACACUGAACAUUGAGCCUUGAUGUGUAGGAUAGGUGGGAGGCUUUGAAGUGUGGACGCCAGUCUGCAUGGAGCCGACCUUGAAAUACCACCCUUUAAUGUUUGAUGUUCUAACGUGGACCCGUAAUCCGGGUUGCGGACAGUGUCUGGUGGGUAGUUUGACUGGGGCGGUCUCCUCCUAAAGAGUAACGGAGGAGCACGAAGGUUGGCUAAUCCUGGUCGGACAUCAGGAGGUUAGUGCAAUGGCAUAAGCCAGCUUGACUGCGAGCGUGACGGCGCGAGCAGGUGCGAAAGCAGGUCAUAGUGAUCCGGUGGUUCUGAAUGGAAGGGCCAUCGCUCAACGGAUAAAAGGUACUCCGGGGAUAACAGGCUGAUACCGCCCAAGAGUUCAUAUCGACGGCGGUGUUUGGCACCUCGAUGUCGGCUCAUCACAUCCUGGGGCUGAAGUAGGUCCCAAGGGUAUGGCUGUUCGCCAUUUAAAGUGGUACGCGAGCUGGGUUUAGAACGUCGUGAGACAGUUCGGUCCCUAUCUGCCGUGGGCGCUGGAGAACUGAGGGGGGCUGCUCCUAGUACGAGAGGACCGGAGUGGACGCAUCACUGGUGUUCGGGUUGUCAUGCCAAUGGCACUGCCCGGUAGCUAAAUGCGGAAGAGAUAAGUGCUGAAAGCAUCUAAGCACGAAACUUGCCCCGAGAUGAGUUCUCCCUGAGACUUAGAGUCUCCUGAAGGAACGUUGAAGACGACGACGUUGAUAGGCCGGGUGUGUAAGCGCAGCGAUGCGUUGAGCUAACCGGUACUAAUGAACCGUGAGGCUUAACCUUACA